rnacentral:rRNA from 1 species
GACGAACGCUGGCGGCGUGCUUAACACAUGCAAGUCGAACGAUGAAGCUAGAGCUUGCUCUGGUGGAUUAGUGGCGAACGAGUGAGUAACACGUGAGUAACCUGCCCCGAACUCUGGGAUAACUGCUGGAAACGGUAGCUAAUACCGGAUAUGACCAAUGAAGGCAUCUUCUGUUGGUGGAAAGAAUUUCGGUUCGGGAUGGACUCGCGGCCUAUCAGCUUGUUGGUGAGGUAACGGCUCACCAAGGCGACGACGGGUAGCCGGCCUGAGAGGGUGAUCGGCCACACUGGGACUGAGACACGGCCCAGACUCCUACGGGAGGCAGCAGUGGGGAAUAUUGCACAAUGGGCGCAAGCCUGAUGCAGCAACGCCGCGUGAGGGACGACGGCCUUCGGGUUGUAAACCGCUUUCAGCAGGGAAGAAGCCGCAAGGUGACGGUACCUGCAGAAGAAGCACCGGCUAACUACGUGCCAGCAGCCGCCGUAA